ACUCAAAUGAAUUGACGGGGACUCGCACAAGCGGUGGAGCAUGUGGUUCAAUUCGACGGUAAACGAAAAACCUCACCAGGGCUUGAAAUGGAUUUGACAAUCCUCUGAAAAGAGGACUUCUCACAAGGACAAAUUCACAGGUGCUGCAUGGCUGUCGUCAGUUCGUGGCUUGAGCUGUUCCCUUAAGUGGGGUAACGAACGCAACCCCUAUCGUGUGUUACAAGUGUCACACGAGACUGCUUGUCUCAGACAAGAGGAAGGCGGGGAUGACGCCAAGUCAGCAUGGCCCUCUGAUGCCCUGGGCUACACACGUGCUACAAUGGCGCGGACAAUGAGUCGCGAUGCCGUAAGGCGGAGCCAAUCUCACCAAACCGCGCCCCAGUUCAGAUUGAGGUCUGCAACUCGACCUCAUGAAGUCGGAAUCGCUAGUAAUCGCAGGUCAGCUAUACUGCGGUGAAUACGUUCUCGAGUCUUGUACACACCGCCCGU
rnacentral:rRNA from 1 species